AAGAAAACACAGACAAAGGGAGUCAGAGAAUGGAAAGAAAAGAAAAAAAAUGGAAUAAUAAUGAAGAGUAAGAAAAAAAUUAUGGAUUCAAAUUUACAUUUAAGGAAUUUCUCUGAAACUGAAGCAUCUAGAACAAUUCAUUUUUUUUCAGAAUGACUGUCUUUCUUGGGGCAAGUGACAUGUCAGGACUGGUUUCUGAGGUACUUCUGAAAUUAAAAAUUAAAAGAACUAAUUUGGAAAGUUAUGUCAUACCUCUGUGUUCAAAGGAAUUAAGCUUGGAGAAGAGAGAAGGAGCAUAACACAAGUUAUAGACAGUCUAAAAGAAGAAGGCAUACUAUUUGUGGAAAGAAAAUGAACCAACUUGAAUUACAGCCAAAUCUAAACUCUUACUCUCUGUAGUCUUCUGUUUAAUCGUUUUAAAUGAUAAAAAGAUAACAGAAACCUGUGGGCUUUAUAUCUCUUCAGAGGAAAUAAAACAUUUGUUUUUCCAAAGGGAUACAGCAUCUACUCACUGUACCACAAAAAUUUCAUUGCUUUAUUUAUAAGAUCAAAGACCUAAUGCCUGUCACUAAAACAGUAGCGUUUUUUCAUUUGUAUUUUCCUUACUACCAAGCAUCAGUAAAGUGUCCAUGGUGUGCAGCAAAUGAAAAGAGGAUAUGGUAUAGUUUCUUCUUAAGGGAAAUUCUCAGUCCAACUUUGAAGAGGAUACACUGAAGGACAUGCACACAUUCAAAGAAGCCAAAUCACUAAGUAUUCCUUACCCAAACCUGGAUUUUUGCACCUUCUGAGCUUUUAGUAGAGGAGCAUUUACUGUUACAGAAAAUAAAUAUGAGAACCCAGGGAACAGACUCUGCCAACCAAAAUAUAAACUGCUUAGAGGCAGUUAGCACUUAACAUAAACAUUUUGACUUGACCUGAUGAUCUGUCUGUACUCUGAAAUCUUCAUACCUUAAACUAUGGCACAAAAUUUCCUUUUCUGGAGGAGGAAGUCAUUUGUGAAGUUGUCAUCUAUAUGUUGAAGAAAAAGCUAAUGAUUGGACUGACAAUAUCCAGUCCAGAUCAGACCUCAAUUCCAGUUGUCCAUAUAAAAAUAGACAUCUUAAAGUCCUCUUCCAAGUUAUUCUGGAUUUGGGGAUAUUUCCUGUAAUAGAAUAUGCUUAGUGAUGAAGCUUCCUGGAUCACUUUAAAACUAGGGGGGAAUUCAAGGCAACCUAUAAUCCUGAAAGGUUAGUUUCUCCUUGCCCUCUGCAGAUUACUGGGAUUGCACCUACCUGAGAUAAAUCUACUCUGAUGUAAUUAUAACAGGGUUCUUACUUGCAUAUAACAGAAGUUAACUCCGGCAGAUUAGGCAUGACAAUGGAAAAUAUUUAUUGAUGGGAUAUCAGGAAUCUCAAAGAAUCAAUUAAAACUGAAGAAACAGAGUUGAGUCUCAGAUUUAAAGAUCAAUGUGCAAACCCCAGUGGAACUGCUCUGAUGAGAAAUCACUAUCACUACAGCCACACCACUGCCAGUGGCCACCAGAUGCCACAGUUUCAACCACUGUCAAUUCUGGGCUAGGAAUUUUUCUUUCCUGCAAUAAUUGUGCUACGUGCUUCAUUGCUAUUUUUAUGUCAAUAUUUCACCACUGCUUUCCCACCCUCACCCCACUUCUGCUUCUUACAUCACUAGCUCCUGCAUCAAAGUCUGAUGUAGCUGUGUGGGCUUGGUGGAACCAAUAAUACAUCCCUAUGCUGUAGCUGCAAGAGAGGCUAGGAGAGCUGGUACCUGGCAAUCAGAACUCCAAUUAUGCAAAGAUAAGCU
ensembl:lncRNA